rnacentral:rRNA from 1 species
GAUCAUGGCUCAGAGUGAACGCUGGCGGCAGGCCUAACACAUGCAAGUCGAGCGGCAGCGCGGGGGCAACCCUGGCGGCGAGCGGCGGACGGGUGAGGAAUACAUCGGAAUCUGCCUUGUUGUGGGGGAUAACGUAGGGAAACUUACGCUAAUACCGCAUGAGACCGUAAGGUGAAAGUGGGGGAUCGCAAGACCUCACGCGACAAGAUGAGCCGAUGUCGGAUUAGCUAGUUGGUGAGGUAAAGGCUCACCAAGGCAACGAUCCGUAGCUGGUCUGAGAGGAUGAUCAGCCACACUGGGACUGAGACACGGCCCAGACUCCUACGGGAGGCAGCAGUGGGGAAUAUUGGACAAUGGGCGCAAGCCUGAUCCAGCCAUGCCGCGUGUGUGAAGAAGGCCUUCGGGUUGUAAAGCACUUUUGUUGGGAAAGAAAUCCUGUCGAUUAAUACUCGGCGGGGAUGACGGUACCCAAAGAAUAAGCACCGGCUAACUUCGUG